UCGGGAAUUUUGGGCAAUGGGCGAAAGCCUGACCCAGCAACGCCGCGUGAAGGAUGAAGUAUUUCGGUAUGUAAACUUCGAAAGAAUAGGAAGAAUAAAUGACGGUACUAUUUAUAAGGUCCGGCUAACUACGUGCCAACAGCCGCGGUAAUACGUAGGGACCAAGCGUUGUUCGGAUUUACUGGGCGUAAAGGGCGCGUAGGCGGCAAUUCAAGUCAUCUGUGAAAUCUCCGGGCUUAACUCGGAACGGUCAGAUGAUACUGCUUUGCUAGAGUGCAGAAGGGGCAAUCGGAAUUCUUGGUGUAGCGGUGAAAUGCGUAGAUAUCAAGAGGAACACCUGAGGUGAAGACGGGUUGCUGGGCUGACACUGACGCUGAGGCGCGAAAGCCAGGGGAGCAAACGGGAUUAGAUACCCGGGUAGUCCCUGAGCGGGCUGGCAAGGCGCAU
rnacentral:rRNA from 1 species